rnacentral:rRNA from 1 species
ACGGAAGGCAGCAGUGGGGAAUAUUGCACAAUGGGGGAAACCCUGAUGCAGCGACGCCGCGUGAGUGAAGAAGUAUUUCGGUAUGUAAAGCUCUAUCAGCAGGAAAGAAAAUGACGGUACCUGAAUAAGAAGCCCCGGCUAACUACGUGCCAGCAGCCGCGGUAAUACGUAGGGGGCAAGCGUUAUCCGGAUUUACUGGGUGUAAAGGGAGCGUAGACGGCUUUGCAAGUCUGAAGUGAAAGCCCGGGGCUCAACCCCGGAACUGCUUUGGAAACUGUAGAGCUAGAGUGCAGGAGAGGUAAGUGGAAUUCCUAGUGUAGCGGUGAAAUGCGUAGAUAUUAGGAGGAACACCAGUGGCGAAGGCGGCUUACUGGACUGUAACUGACGUUGAGGCUCGAAGGCGUGGGGAGCAAACAGGAUUAGAUACCCUGGUA